CUUCAGUCAUCUAAAUUACGCAUCCUUUUUUUUUAUUUUCCAGCAACCCAACUCUUUCUCCCUCGAGCCGGCCCACUUUACCUUAUCCAUUUAACGUUAACAACAAUUUCUAAGUCGAGAAAACGACGACCAAACGACACCUUACCAGCUUCAAAACGCAGCAAUGUCCAAGUGACGAGAUUUACGGAAAAGCGACAGCUUUAUCCGUGUCGUCUUCCUCAUCAAUUUGUACAAUAGUACGCGCACAGCUUUGCAGCAAAGGAGGCUGCAAUUCUGUCCUUGUGCCCUCGAGAUUGGAACAUGUAGCACCAAAGGACAGUCGACUCCAUCUGAAGCGUACACCUCGCCUCCCUCCCGUUGAGAAUUGAUGAAAUUGGGUAUCGAAUCGAAUAUUCCCUGGAUUUUUAGAUAAGAUCUAAAGCUUUGAAAUUCAAAUUUUCGUGGGCCUGGGGAAGUCCGAAUUUUACCCCAAAUUCGGAGCCCUAAUCCAUCGAUAUAUAAGGCCUCUUCCCGUCUAAGCAGAGGGUGGAUUUUUCUGGAAAAGUUUUAGGGAAAGAAAUAUCGGAGAAGACGGGGGAUACUGGACAGAGAGGAAAGUUUUAGAGGGAGCAAUUUUGAAGUUUGAAAUUCUUUUAUUUUGAAGUUUGAAAUUCCGUCAUGUUUGAGAUUUUUUUUGUUGAGCGAGAAGCAGAAAAGGGGAAGAAAAUUUCCUCUCAAAGUAUGGUUUGAGAUUUCAUUAAAAAUUUUGCUGCUGACCGUGCUUGCAUUUGUGUGGUGAAGUCGUCGUUUUCUUUGUUCAUCUCGUCCUCUAUUUGUUGCCCGGAAGAAGGAUCCAAAGCAAGUCGGAAGAGCCGAAGAAGUCGGAUUAGAAGCCCCCUUAUUUUCAUGUUUUUGUAUUUUUAUUUGUAGUGGGCCUAAGCCCUUGUCGUUCUCUUUUAAUUAUUUUGUAUUAUUGUAUUAUUUUAUUAGAACUUAGGAAAGGUGCAAAACGAAAAUGGGUCGAAAACCCAAACAGGUGGGUCCAAAUUUGGAUCCAAAUCUCUCUCCCUCCCGCUCUCUUUACAUGAUUUUAAUUACUUAGUGGUUUGUUUGUCGCUAG